rnacentral:rRNA from 1 species
GACGAACACUGGUUCGCCUGCUUACACAUGAUAGUUCGAACACAAAGGCCCUGCAUGUCGGGUACUCGAGUGGCGAACCGCUGACCUACAUGUGGGUGAUUUGCCCUGAUCUUCUCGAUCUCCCUGGGAAACUGGAUCUUGUACCGGAUAUUAGCCAUUUUUAGAGUGAUGGUUGGAAAGGUUUUUCAUGGUUUGAUGACCUCCCCGCCUAUCUCCUAGUUGACGCGGUAAUGCUCUACCAAGGCCCACACUGAUAUCCUGCCUGAAAGGGAGGACGGUCGCAUUGGGACUGAGAUACAGCCCAAACUCCUACGACAGGCAGUGAUGAGGAAUAUUGCACACUGGGCGCCCGCCUGAUGCAGAGGACACACCCAUCUCGGAUGACGCCUUCGGGGUGUAAACUCCUUUCGCUAGGGACGAAGCUUUUGUGGACGGUACCUAGAUAAGAAGCACCGGCUAACUACGUGCCAGCAGCCGCGGUAAUACGUAGGGUGCGAGCGCUCUCCGGAAUUACUGGGCGUAAGGGGCUCGUAGGUGGUUUGUCGCGUCGUCUGUGAAUUCCGGGGCUUAACUCCGGGCGUGCAGGCGAUACGGGCAUAACUUGAGUACUGUAGGGGUAACUGGAAUUCCUGGUGUAGCGGUGAAAUGCGCAGAUAUCAGGAGGAACACCGAUGGCGAAGGCAGGUUACUGGGCAGUUACUGACGCUGAGGAGCGAAAGCAUGGGUAGCGAACAGGAUUAGAUACCCUGGUAGUCCAUGCCGUAAACGGUGGGCGCUAGGUGUGAGGGUCUUUUCACGACUUUCGUGCCGUAGCUAACGCAUUAAGCGCCCCGCCUGGGGAGUACGGCCGCAAGGCUAAAACUCAAAGGAAUUGACGGGGGCCCGCACAAGCGGCGGAGCAUGUGGAUUAAUUCGAUGCAACGCGAAGAACCUUACCUGGGCUUGACAUACACCGGAUCGGGCUAGAGAUAGUCUUUCCCUUUGUGGCUGGUGUACAGGUGGUGCAUGGUUGUCGUCAGCUCGUGUCGUGAGAUGUUGGGUUAAGUCCCGCAACGAGCGCAACCCUUGUCUUAUGUUGCCAGCAUUUGGUUGGGGACUCAUGAGAGACUGCCGGGGUCAACUCGGAGGAAGGUGGGGAUGACGUCAAAUCAUCAUGCCCCUUAUGUCCAGGGCUUCACACAUGCUGCAAUGGUCGGUACAACGCGCAGCGACACUGUGAUGGUGGAGCGAAUCGCUGAAAGCCGGCCUUAGUUCGGAUUGGGGUCUGCAACUCGACCCCAUGAAGUCGGAGUCGCUAGUAAUCGCAGAUCAGCAACGCUGCGGUGAAUACGUUCCCGGGCCU